UGUGCGCCACUUCCGUCUUCUGUUCUCUCUUCUCCGACUGUGUUUAAUCAAUCACGACAAACAAAGUUUUUUCUUUUCUUCUUUUCUUCUUUUCUUCUUCUGCCAUCGCAGUCAGAUCAAGAUUCGCCUUCCAUAUCCACUCGCCAUUGCAUCUCUGUUAGGUCCUUUUGUUCGUUCUGUUAAUUUGGAGGAGAUUGAGCUGGUUCAUCUUCUGUUUCAUUGCGGUACGGUUUCUCUAUUUUCUUUUGAACGAACUGCCGUUUUCAACAUUGGUACUGUUGUUUAAGGACUUGUCGUUACUCGUUACGAUUUUUAUGAAUUUUUUGUUGGAAAUUUUACUGCCUUUGUGAGUUUAAUGCGAAGGAAAUGCUGAUGCGUGUGUUUUUACUUUGAAUUAGAAUUGGAUGUGGCAGGUGCAUUUCUGUGAGAAGUGUUAAUGCCAGUGCUCUAUAUGCUAGAAAAUUGUUAUGGAUUUUUAAGAUGAAGCUGAGUGAAUAAUGUCUGACACUGUUAUCAGCUGAGCUUGUGUUUUUUGUCGUUUGUUCAGAGCUCUGAUGAAAUUGUUAUGGACUUGAUAGUGUUGGACAUUUAUUUGUGAGUUUUGUUACUUUGUAUGUUAUAAGAGCUCGUUUUAUAUUAAUUUUUAAGGUAAAGAUGAGCAAAUAAUAGUUACCACUGUUUCUUGUUUGACCAUUUCUUGUUUUUUUCUCCUGUUCAAAGCUCUGAAGAACUUGCUACAGACUUGAAUGAGCGAUGGUCAUUAUCUUUUGAUGCUAAAAGUAAAAUGCUGCUUUGGAAUAGGACCUCAAAAUUGCUUCUGCGGAUGAGUAGUUGAUUAUGAGCUGCAAGAUUAGUUGAUUAUGAGUCGCCUAAAUCUGCAUUAGUUGAUGGUGGAAGUAUUUCAAACUGAACCCCAACCCGUGUUUUGAAUCCAUUUGCCUUGCUCGUUAUUUUCCUGGAGUAUGGAUGAUGGCCGGCAACAUGAAAAUGGGAGGCACAAGCUAGAUUAUUUCAGAGGGAGCCCCUCGCCUUGGAAUAUGAUGCCCCCGCAUCAUGUAAAGGAACCAAAUGCCUUGGUCAUGAAUAAGAAGAUCAUGUCCAUUAUAGCUGAGAGAGAUGCUGCUAUUCGGGAGCGAAAUUUAGCACUAUCUGAGAAGAAUGAUGCAUUGGCUGCACGGAAUGAGGCUCUACGGCAGCGUGACGAGGCAUUUGCACAGCGUGAUACUGCAUUAAUGGAAAGAGACAAUGCUCUUGCAGCCCUUCAAAUUCGUGAUAAUUCUUCUAACUUUCCUCUCAGCAGUGGGAUCCAACGGAAAGCAAAGCGAUCACACUAUUUAUCUAAUCAUAUGCCAAACAUGACUGAAACUCCCUAUGGUACAAAAGAUGUGCAAAUAACUGAUGCCUUUCCAAUUACAGUUAUAGCAUCUGAAGCUGUUAAGUCUCAACAGGGAAAGCAAACAAAGGACAACAAGACAGUUUCAUCAAAGGCUUCAAAGCUGCCCAGGAAGAAAGUCGGUGAAGAUUUGAAUAGACAGGCGGCGACCGAUGGCACAAAAUACAGAACUGACUGGGAUGGUCAGGAUGUGGGUUUGAAUCUUGUUAGUUUUGAUGACUCUUCUAUGCCAGCACCAAUUUGCUCCUGCACUGGACUUGCAAGGCAGUGCUACAAAUGGGGGAAUGGGGGUUGGCAAUCAUCGUGUUGCACCACCCAUAUGUCCAUGUAUCCACUUCCACAUAUGCCUAAUAAACGCCAUGCCCGCAUGGGUGGGCGCAAAAUGAGUGGAAGCGUUUUUACAAAAUUGCUUAGUCGGCUAGCAGCAGCAGGACAUGAUCUGUCAGUACCAGUGGAUCUUAAGGACCACUGGGCGAGGCAUGGUACAAAUCGCUACAUAACAAUCAGGUAGCUAGGAAGUAACUUCAAGAGGAGUAGAACAUUUUGCAGAGGUCCACGGGGUCUGUCGAAUAUUUCAAUCGGUAACAUGACUCGACUGAAGUGAUUUUACAACGAGGUAGCGCAUUGUGAUUAGACUGAACCUGUAUGGACCAGAGUAGAUUGGGGAUGUUUGUAGAGUAUGGCCAUAAGAAUGCGGCAGUUUUUUGUGCAAAUUCCUUGGAGGCUCGUUGUGGGUUGCCGCCCUCCACUUUUCUCCAAUUGCCAAAUUCCCCCAUUAGAAUUUAAGAUAAAUGGAACUGGAGAAUGUAGAAUCAAGAAUGGAUCUGGAAUGAUGAGAAUGAAGGCUUCGGGGUUGAUGAGUAGAUGCUGAAAUGGCGAUGCGGUCGGUGAAUCGGGUCGGGUGCUUACGUUAAUUGCUAACUUUGGUCUAGCUGGUAGAGAAUAUCCUCCCCUCCAGCUCUUUUUGCACUCAAAAUGGAGUGAGAAGCUUCAUUUUGCCUGGUUAGUAUCGUUCUUUCUCGGUUUUCCUUCUCUAACUCUAUUUCCAAUUGCCCCAUUUGCUCCAUAUGCGUCCUUAAUAGCUGAAACCAAUUAGUAGUCUCAGGUGGUUUAGUUUUCCCAAACAAUUGCAUCUUUUUCUUCUUUUUCUGAUGCAUGAAUUCGAGUUCUUUGUCGA